UUAGUGUUUGACUUCGGAAAAAAGAGAGAAAAAAAAAAGGGAAAAGGAAUGGAAAAGAUGAUUUCAAUCCCAAAAGUAAAAUCAAAGACCUAAAGAAGAAGACACCCUUCUCUCUCUCACAGAAUAAUACCUUAAUAAUCUGCUUUCAUCAAAUAUUCCAGCAAGGAGAGAGGUCAAGGGUUUCCACAAAGCAGCUGCUCUGUGCAAUUUUAAUGACGUAGGGAUAUCUGCGAUGCACCGUGUAGCAAGUUCAGGCAACACAUCCAAUUCGGUGAGGGCUCGGAAGGAGAAGAGGUUCACUUAUGUUUUAAAUGAUUCAGAUGACACUAAGCAUUGUGCAGGUGUAAAUUGUUUGGCUCUGUUGAAGUCAUCCUCACCCGAUGGGUCUGAGUACCUAUUUACUGGGAGCAGAGACGGCACAUUAAAGAGAUGGGAAUUGGCUGAAGAUGGUGCCACCAGCUGUGCUACAUUUGAGUCCCAUGUUGAUUGGGUAAAUGAUGCUGUUCUUACAGGCAAUAACACUUUAGUUUCAUGCUCCUCAGACACCACUGUCAAGGUAUGGAAUGGCUUAUCUGAGGGAUCUUGUAUCAGGACACUUCGUCAGCACUCUGAUUAUGUCACUUGCCUUGCUUCAGCAGAAAAAAAUAGCAACGUUAUUGCAUCUGCUGGACUUGGUGGUGAGGUUUACAUAUGGGACCUUGAAGGUGCACUUGCCCCUACAUCUAAGUCAAGUGAUGCAACUGAGGAAGACUGUUCAAAUGGUGUCAGUGGUUCAGGAAGUUCAUUGCCCAUGACAAGCAUCCGCCCUAAUAGUUCGAGCAAUAACAUUUCCUUGCACACCCAGUCUCAAGGAUAUAUUCCUGUGUCUGCAAAAGGCCAUAAGGAGUCAGUAUAUGCAUUGGCAAUGAAUGACAGCGGAUCCCUUCUUGUUUCUGGUGGAACUGAGAAGGUUGUGCGUGUCUGGGAUCCAAGAACUGGUUCGAAGACCAUGAAGUUAAAAGGUCAUACAGAUAAUAUUAGGGCGCUACUUCUUGAUUCUACUGGCAGGUUCUGCUUAUCCGGGUCAUCUGAUUCGAUGAUUAGAUUAUGGGAUCUGGGUCAGCAGAGGUGUGUGCAUUCGUACGCUGUGCAUACCGAUUCCGUAUGGGCACUUGCCAGCACUCCAACAUUUAGUCAUGUUUAUAGUGGUGGAAGAGAUCUCUCUUUGUACUUAACAGAUUUGGCAACAAGGGAAAGUGUCUUGCUUUGUACAAAGGAUCACCCAAUUUUGCAGUUGGCAUUACAUGGUGAUAGCAUGUGGGUGGCCACAACUGAUUCUUCUGUUCAUAAGUGGCCAGCAGAAGUGCAUAAUCCCCAGAAAGUUUUCGAAAGAGGGGGUUCGUUCUUGGCUGGAAACUUGUCCUUUUCCAGGGCAAGGGUUUCAUUAGAGGGAUCUACCCCUGUACCUGUCUAUAAAGAACCUUCCUUUAGCAUUUAUGGAACUCCAGGAAUAGUGCAGCAUGAGAUUUUGAACGACAGAAGACAUGUCUUGACCAAGGAUACUGCUGGUACAGUUAAGUUGUGGGAGAUCACAAGAGGGGCUGUAAUUCAAAACUACGGAGAGGUUUCAUUUGACAAGAAAAAGGAAGAAUUAUUUGAGAUGGUAAGCAUCCCCGCAUGGUUCACUGUGGACACAAAGCUCGGAAGCUUGGCUGUACAUUUGGAUACUCCACAAUGCUUUUCUGCUGAGAUGUACUCCACUGACCUCAACAUCCCUGGGAAACCUGAAGAUGACAAGGUCAAUUUGGCACGAGAAACACUUAAAGGGCUGUUGGUGCAUUGGUUAAUCAAAAGAAGGCGGAAAUUUGGAUCUCAAUCGUCAAUUAAUGGAGAAGUCCCAUCUGGAAAAUAUGUAUCUACAAGGAUUUUGACUGCAUCUAGAAUGGAAUUAGAUGGUAAUGCUGAUAAUGAUUCUGCAGUGUUUCCCCCCUUUGAAUUUUCAGCAGCAUUUCCUCCAUCCAUCAUGACUGAGGGCUCUCAAAGUGGUCCUUGGAGGAAAAAGAUCACCGACUUAGAUGGAACUGAAGACGAGAAGGACAUUCCAUGGUGGGUUAUAGACUGCGUGAUGAACAAUCGGCUGCCUCCCAGGGAAAAUACCAAAUGUAGCUUUUAUUUGCAUCCAUGUGAAGGUUCUACUGCCCAGAUCCUUACCCAAGGCAAACUGAGUGCACCUCGCAUAUUAAGAAUUCACAAAGUUAUCAAUUAUGUCAUAGAAAAGAUGGUUCUCGACAAGCCUUUGGAUAGCGUAAACUCGGAUGGAACUUUUGCUCCUGGUAUGCAUGGAGGUACUGGAGGAGAUGGCUCAUUCCAGACUGGGCCGAAGCCUUGGCAAAAGCUUAAGCCAUCUAUAGAGAUCCUGUGCAAUAACCAGGUUUUAUCCCCUGAUAUGAGCUUAGCAACUGUCCGGGCCUAUAUAUGGAAGAAACCUGAAGAUGUUGUACUUAAUUACCGUGUGUUGCCGAGCAAGUGACAGGACUGAAAGUUAUGAGGAAGCAUAAAGGAGGUAUUAAAAUGCGGGAAUAGAGAUGGCAAUGCAACCAACAUGGAGGAGAGAUACAAGAUUGUCCCACCAUGUAUUUGGUGGUCUGUUUGGGCAGAAAGGAACCAAAGAUGAUAUGAGAACAAGCAAUGCAACAUUCAGAAGUUCAAGAUGAAUUGCUUAGCCCUCUAUUAUUUUUGGCGUAAACGGGAAAUGUUAAUACAAACUGAAGAUAUUUUUGUUCUAGACAGUGUGGAGAUCGAGGAUCAGGAUAGAAGGCUAGUUCAGAGUGACUUGAGGUAAUGGAGCUGUCCAUACAGAAUACUUCAGAGGGUAUGCAGGUGCUUGCUGCUGGCAUUAUUUAUUGCUUGUACAUCCGGGAACCAGGCGGUUGGAUUCAUUUGCAAAAUUUCAAUGACAAUCCAACUUUUACCAUUUGCCUAUUGAAUGAUGGCAAAUGGUUGUCGGACCCUUUAGAAGAAAUGUAAGGUUUUUAUGGCUAGUAGGUCACUGCAAAGUUUAUAUAAGCUGAGUUUGCAUGUGGUACAGGUUGUCAGUUUGGAGGGUACAGGACAUGAGAUCAGAAAGAAUUUUUAUAAAUUUGUUCUGGUAGUCUUGCACGAACCACAGUGUAGGAAGUGAAUAAUUUAUAUGGAAAUAAAAUGUUCUUUCCAGCUAAA